AGUGAACGCUGGCGGCAGGCCUAACACAUGCAAGUCGAGCGGCAGCGGGUCCUUCGGGAUGCCGGCGAGCGGCGGACGGGUGAGGAAUGCGUCGGAAUCUGCCUUUUUGUGGGGGAUAACGUAGGGAAACUUACGCUAAUACCGCAUACGACCUACGGGUGAAGGUGGGGGACCGCAAGGCCUCACGCAGAAAGAUGAGCCGACGUCGGAUUAGCUAGUUGGCGGGGUAAAGGCCCACCAAGGCGACGAUCCGUAGCUGGUCUGAGAGGAUGAUCAGCCACACUGGAACUGAGACACGGUCCAGACUCCUACGGGAGGCAGCAGUGGGGAAUAUUGGACAAUGGGCGCAAGCCUGAUCCAGCCAUGCCGCGUGUGUGAAGAAGGCCUUCGGGUUGUAAAGCACUUUUGUCCGGAAAGAAAUCCUGUCGGCUAAUACCCGGCGGGGAUGACGGUACCGGAAGAAUAAGCACCGGCUAACUUCGUG
rnacentral:rRNA from 1 species